UUAAAAAGCUCGUAGUUGGAUUUUGGUUAAGAGGGCGCGGUCGGCCGUUUGGUCUGUACUGCGUUGUCUUGACUUCCUGAUGAGGACAUGCUCUUGGUUAACGCUGAGACAUGGAGUCAUCGUGGUUACUUUGAAAAAAUUAGAGUGUUCAAAGCGGGCUUGCGCUUGAAUAUAUUAGCAUGGAAUAACACUAUAGGACUCCUGUCCUAUCUCGUUGGUCUCGGGAUGGGAGUAAUGAUUAAGAGGAACAGUUGGGGGCAUUCGUAUUUCAUUGUCAGAGGUGAAAUUCUUGGAUUUAUGAAAGACGAACUUCUGCGAAAGCAUUUGCCAAGGAUGUUUUCAUUAAUCAAGAGCGAAAGUUAGGGGAUCGAAGACGAUCAGAUACCGUCCUAGUCUUAACCAUAAACCAUGCCGACUA
rnacentral:rRNA from 1 species